rnacentral:rRNA from 1 species
GAGAGGAGCUUGCUCCUCUUGAGAGCGGCGGACGGGUGAGUAAUGCCUAGGAAUCUGCCUGGUAGUGGGGGAUAACGUUCGGAAACGGACGCUAAUACCGCAUACGUCCUACGGGAGAAAGCAGGGGACCUUCGGGCCUUGCGCUAUCAGAUGAGCCUAGGUCGGAUUAGCUAGUUGGUGAGGUAAUGGCUCACCAAGGCGACGAUCCGUAACUGGUCUGAGAGGAUGAUCAGUCACACUGGAACUGAGACACGGUCCAGACUCCUACGGGAGGCAGCAGUGGGGAAUAUUGGACAAUGGGCGAAAGCCUGAUCCAGCCAUGCCGCGUGUGUGAAGAAGGUCUUCGGAUUGUAAAGCACUUUAAGUUGGGAGGAAGGGCAGUAAAUUAAUACUUUGCUGUUUUGACGUUACCGACAGAAUAAGCACCGGCUAACUCUGUGCCAGCAGCCGCGGUAAU